UCAACCAUCAAGCCUGGCUUAUUGUUGGACUUUGCGGCUGUAAAAUGUGGCAGGUCCGAAAAAUAAUGACGGUGUCAUGUUUGACCCUAGAUGCAACGAGCUUUUUUAUAGCACGCAUUGAAGUGGUCGACUGAACUGGUCUUAACCAUUAAAUUUCUAA
rnacentral:misc_RNA from 1 species